ACAAAGUUCGGACCGUUGGUCUACCGAGCUACCGCCUACCGCCCGGUGGAAGAUCUUCCCUUUGUCGU
rnacentral:pre_miRNA from 1 species